rnacentral:rRNA from 1 species
GACGAACGCUGGCGGCGUGCUUAACACAUGCAAGUCGAACGGAAAGGCCCUGCUUUUGUGGGUUGCUCGAGUGGCGAACGGGUGAGUAACACGUGAGUAACCUGCCCUUGACUUUGGGAUAACUUCAGGAAACUGGGGCUAAUACCGGAUAGGAGCUCCUGCUGCAUGGUGGGGGUUGGAAAGUUUCGGCGGUGGGGGAUGGACUCGCGGCUUAUCAGCUUGUUGGUGGGGUAGUGGCUUACCAAGGCUUUGACGGGUAGCCGGCCUGAGAGGGUGACCGGCCACAUUGGGACUGAGAUACGGCCCAGACUCCUACGGGAGGCAGCAGUGGGGAAUAUUGCACAAUGGGCGGAAGCCUGAUGCAGCAACGCCGCGUGCGGGAUGACGGCCUUCGGGUUGUAAACCGCUUUCGCCUGUGACGAAGCGUGAGUGACGGUAAUGGGUAAAGAAGCACCGGCUAACUACGUG